rnacentral:rRNA from 1 species
UGGGAAGUAUUGACAAUGGCGGAAGACCUCGAUCCAGCCAUGCCGCGUGUGUGAAGAAGGUCUUCGGAUUGUAAAGCACUUUAAGUUGGGAGGAAGGGCAGUAAGUUAAUACCUUGCUGUUUUGACGUUACCAACAGAAUAAGCACCGGCUAACUUCGUGCCAGCAGCCGCGGUAAUACGAAGGGUGCAAGCGUUAAUCGGAAUUACUGGGCGUAAAGCGCGCGUAGGUGGUUUGGUAAGAUGGAUGUGAAAUCCCGCGCACAGCAUGGACUGACUAGCCUGACUAGAGUACGGUAGAGGGUGGUGGAAUUUCCUGUGUAGCGGUGAAAUGCGUUAGAUAUAGGAAGGAACACCAGUGGCGAAGGCGACCACCUGGACUGAUACUGACACUGAGGUGCG